rnacentral:tRNA from 1 species
UAUAUAUUAGUGAAGUUUCAUAUAAAAUUUUGAAUUUUAUGAUAAUAAAUAAAUAUUUAUUAUAUAUAA